AGUGAACGCUGGCGGUAGGCCUAACACAUGCAAGUCGAACGGCAGCACAGUAAGAGCUUGCUCUUACGGGUGGCGAGUGGCGGACGGGUGAGGAAUACAUCGGAAUCUACUUUUUCGUGGGGGAUAACGUAGGGAAACUUACGCUAAUACCGCAUACGACCUACGGGUGAAAGCAGGGGAUCUUCGGACCUUGCGCGAUUGAAUGAGCCGAUGUCGGAUUAGCUAGUUGGCGGGGUAAAGGCCCACCAAGGCGACGAUCCGUAGCUGGUCUGAGAGGAUGAUCAGCCACACUGGAACUGAGGCACGGUCCAGACUCCUACGGGAGGCAGCAGUGGGGAAUAUUGGACAAUGGGCGCAAGCCUGAUCCAGCAAUACCGCGUGGGUGAAGAAGGCCUUCGGGUUGUAAAGCCCUUUUGUUGGGAAAGAAAAGCAGCAGGUUAAUACCCCGCUGUUCUGACGGUACCCAAAGAAUAAGCACCGGCUAACUUCGUG
rnacentral:rRNA from 1 species